GAAAUACCAACACCUUCUCUCUUUUUACAGCCUCGUGAAAGCAUGAGAAAAGGGAGGUUACAGAACAGACAAAGGCUUGUGAAGUAGACACCAACCAACUAUCUCUUGCUGUGGCACACUUGCAAAUGCAUCUGAAAGAUCAUUGUCCAUAGUGUCAAGACGGUAUCUCAAUAUUAUCUCUCAAUCAGUUAAGAAGAAUCGUUUUUGGAUUCAUUGCAUCAUGUGAAGUGGUUUGCAUAUAAACAAAUUAUGGUUUAAGAAAAGAGACCUUAAAUCCUUUUUGGGUAUUCAGAUUUAAAGCCUACUUCACUCUUUCUUUCUUUCUUUUUUUCACAUUUUCUUGGCACAUCUGGUUAAAUGGAUGAUUGGUGAGGGUCAAGGCAAUGAUCUCAAAGGCUUUAUUCUCACGUUUAUCCAUAGAGCUACAAUAUAUUGUAUCUAGCUGGAGAGAGGAAUGCUGGUUCGUAUGUGAACUCAUAUAUGGAAAUUAUUUCGUCGUGGAAGUUCCUAUUCAACCCCUUUUUUGUUUGAGCUAUCAAAGAUUUUCAUUACCCUACUGUGCAGAAUGGCAGUACUAAAAUUAGUAUUAACGAAGUUAAUAUUUUUGUACUUCUUUAAAGUUUAAGGGGCACUAUAGACAUAAAUGCUAGUAAAAUAUAUUAUAGAUUUUCCCUUCGAAAAGCAAAAUUGGAGUAAAGAGUUCAAUAAAGCAAUCAGACAGAGAACAAAACCUCGAUGGCCUGACUGUUCAAGCAGUAAGGGUAACUUUAUUCUGAUCUCCAUGUCUUUACACUCUCAUCAUUCUGUAUGUGUGGUCCGGUUUAAAUGAGAUUUCGAGUUGAAUCCAACCGACCAGUUCAGCUCGUGUUUUGGGAGGGAGAAGAGUAUCUAAUUAUUCUGACAGAUUUUAUUCUGGUUAAAAGGACACACUGCAUUUUGUAAAUUCUGUAAGACUUGUCGUCCAUAAAUGCUUUUUAUAUCAACAGAUUUUUGUAAGAAUGACAAAGCCCAUAAAGAAACAUAGAAGUGUGCGAACUUAUAUGGCAGAUUUACGGACAGCUGUUGAGUGGCUUAUGGCAUGGGACUACUGUAUCAUUUGGAAAGUCAAUGACCUUUCAAUAAUUAUAAUCACUUAUUUUCAAGAAAUUGUCUUUUUUUUUUUUCCGACCCUUUGAAUUUCUUGAUUGAUUUUCCAGGUUUAUUUGUGGAAUGGGCUGCUUGUUGUUGCAGUGGAGGAAAUUGUGAACACUUCGAAAUGAAACAGAAAUUGGUGCAAAAAACCAUUUGAUUAUUGAAUGCAAAGAUACAAGAACUGAGCAUCCUGUUAGAACAAAGUCUUGCAGGGCUCUUGCUCAAUCUCCUUCCAUAGGAUUGUAUUAUGGGUAAUUUUAUUUCUCUGUGAAUAUUCAUGUAAUGUAUAAAUUUGUUUUCUUGAUUUACUAUGAUUUUUGGGCAUAAUUUUGUUACAGAACCAAGCAGAUUUUUCUACUAUCUAAGGUUUAAGCUAAAAUCAGGAUUCAUGGCGAGGUAGUGAUAUUGAAACUACCAAAAUGGCUGAACCUUGCACAUGCCUCUAUUUAGACUAGUUUAGCCGUGAGUAUCUCGGUUUGCAUUUCUGGCUCAGUAAUUUUUUUUCCGGUAUAAAGAUUUACCGCUAAUCCCCUCGACUGUUAUGACUCCAU
rnacentral:lncRNA from 1 species